GCUCAGAUUGAACGCUGGCGGCAGGCUUAACACAUGCAAGUCGAGCGGAGAGAGGUAGCUUGCUACUGAUCUUAGCGGCGGACGGGUGAGUAAUACUUAGGAAUCUGCCUAUUAGUGGGGGACAACAUCUCGAAAGGGAUGCUAAUACCGCAUACGUCCUACGGGAGAAAGCAGGGGAUCUUUAUGACCUUGCGCUAAUAGAUGAGCCUAAGUCGGAUUAGCUAGUUGGUGGGGUAAAGGCCUACCAAGGCGACGAUCUGUAGCGGGUCUGAGAGGAUGAUCCGCCACACUGGGACUGAGACACGGCCCAGACUCCUACGGGAGGCAGCAGUGGGGAAUAUUGGACAAUGGGGGGAACCCUGAUCCAGCCAUGCCGCGUGUGUGAAGAAGGCCUUAUGGUUGUAAAGCACUUUAAGCGAGGAGGAGGCUUACCUGGUUAAUACCCAGGAUAAGUGGACGUUACUCGCAGAAUAAGCACCGGCUAACUCUGUGCCAGCAGCCGCGGUAAUACAGAGGGUGCAAGCGUUAAUCGGAUUUACUGGGCGUAAAGCGCGCGUAGGCGGCCAAUUAAGUCAAAUGUGAAAUCCCCGAGCUUAACUUGGGAAUUGCAUUCGAUACUGUUUGGCUAGAGUGUGGGAGAGGAUGGUAGAAUUCCAGGUGUAGCGGUGAAAUGCGUAGAGAUCUGGAGGAAUACCGAUGGCGAAGGCAGCCAUCUGGCCUAACACUGACGCUGAGGUGCGAAAGCAUGGGGAGCAAACAGGAUUAGAUACCCUGGUAGUCCAUGCCGUAAACGAUGUCUACUAGCCGUUGGGGCCUUUGAGGCUUUAGUGGCGCAGCUAACGCGAUAAGUAGACCGCCUGGGGAGUACGGUCGCAAGACUAAAACUCAAAUGAAUGACNGGGCCCGCACAAGCGG
rnacentral:rRNA from 1 species